rnacentral:rRNA from 1 species
GCCAAAAACCUAGCCUAUAUAUUUUUACACAUAAAACAUUUUUACUCUUUAGUAGAGGUGAUCGAAAAAUACCUUAAGCGCUUAAGAAAUAGUACCGCAAGGGAAAAGUGAAAUAAAAAUUAAAUAAAUCUAAAGCCCCAGA